AGAAUGAGAGCUUCGGCAGGAAUUUUUCUUACCUUUUAAGGCGGACGGGUGAGUAACGUGUGGGCAACCUGCCCUGCUCUGGGGAAUAAUCAUUGGAAACGAUGACUAAUACCGCAUACGGUUCCUGGGAGGCAUCUUCCGGGAAAGAAAGGAUUUAUUCGGUGCAGGAUGGGCCCGCAUCUGAUUAGCUAGUUGGUGAGAUAACAGCCCACCAAGGCGACGAUCAGUAGCCGACCUGAGAGGGUGACCGGCCACAUUGGGACUGAGACACGGCCCAAACUCCUACGGGAGGCAGCAGUGGGGAAUAUUGCACAAUGGGCGAAAGCCUGAUGCAGCAACGCCGCGUGAAGGAAGAAGGGUUUCGGCUCGUAAACUUCUAUCAACAGGGACGAAAGAAAUGACGGUACCUGAAUAAGAAGCCCCGGCUAACUACGUGCCAGCAGCCGCGGUAAUACGUAGGGGGCAAGCGUUAUCCGGAAUUACUGGGUGUAAAGGGUGAGUAGGCGGCAUGGUAAGCCAGAUGUGAAAGCCUUGGGCUUAACCCGAGGAUUGCAUUUGGAACUAUCAAGCUAGAGUACAGGAGAGGAAAGCGGAAUUCCUGGUGUAGCGGUGAAAUGCGUAGAUAUCAGGAGGAACCCGGUGGCGAAGGCGGCCUGCUGGACUGCGACUGACGUUGAGGCCCGAAAGCGUGGGGAGCAAACAGGAUUAGAUACCCUG
rnacentral:rRNA from 1 species